CGAUGGCACGUCGUUUGGCGUGUGACAUAAAUUAGUUUUCAAUUUUCAUUUAUUGUUUUAGUUACCCAGUCCGUGACUUGUGUAAUUUUUCAACCUUUUCGUUCGUAGUAUUAAAAUUACGAGUCAAAUGAAACCAUAAAAAGCAAGAAAUUUUUUGUUUAAUCAGAGAAGAAGGCGUAGCUAAACGUGACGUGAGAAGCUUGCCUUUUGCCGGCCACUUUUAAGAAUUCGGCAGCACCAGGAUCCAAGAAAGAAAAGGUUCAAGACUUUUGUGUAUUGUUAAGGCAGAACAAUUUAAAAUAGGGGCAAUUUGUUGAUUCAAGUUGGAAAACAAAACGCAAACUGUGUCAGGAAAACCGGACAAUGAAGAUGAUUUCUUUCUCUACUUUGAAAACUGUUUCAAACUGAAGGUUCUGCAGGAAAAUGCCCAAUCAA